rnacentral:rRNA from 1 species
UACGUAGGGAGCAAGCGUUGUCCGGAAUCAUUGGGCGUAAAGCGCGCGUAGGCGGCCCUGUAAGUCCGUUGUGAAAGUCAAAGGCUCAACCUUUGAAAGCCGAUGGAUACUGCAGGGCUAGAGUCCGGAAGAGGCGAGUGGAAUUCCUGGUGUAGCGGUGGAAUGCGCAGAUAUCAGGAGGAACACCAAUAGCAAAGGCAGCUCGCUGGGACGGUACUGACGCUAAGGCGCGAAAGCGUGGGGAGCGAACAGG